UUUUGACGCCGACGUUGGCAAGGGGCAGGACGUCGGCAACGCUCGUGGUGAUUUUUGAAUUUUGGUCUCUCCAGGAUGGAUUCUCAGAAGUUCUGCCUCAAGUGGGACAGGUUCCAGGGCAGCGUCACGUCCGUGUUUGACCAGCUCCGCUCUGGAGGAGAGCUGCUGGAUGUCACGCUCUGCUGUGAGGGACAGCGUGUCCGGGCCCAAGGGAUGAUGCUGUCUGCCUGCAGUCUGUACUUCAGGGAACUGCUGAAGGUUCGGCGGCUUAUUCUCGGAGCUCCUUACCGAUGACGGAGGAGGGUCCUUCUCUCCGCCGCUGAGGGAGCUCACUGAACUACCCUCUCGCCCCGCGCCAUCUGCGCCGUCCUCACCGCCGGCCGACCCGACCAACGAGAAUGACACAGACGCCCUCCGGCACUGCUGGCAGAGGAAACUGAAGGAGAGCGUCGCUGCCAGACUACCCGAGGCGCCUAUCUGCAUCAGCCGCCGUCCCGGUACAUUUUCCCCGGAGCGGAGGUGCUGGUCGAUCCUGACGAGUCGGACAGUGACAGAGACUCGCUGGACUCGGACCGCGGCAGUGACGAUGAGUCUCCGACCGCUGAGGGCGACCAUCUGAACAACUCCACGGAUACUCCGGAGACGGCAGUCACUCCUACACACAGUGACUCCUGUCCUCCAACGCCUCCUGGACGAACUACAACCUCUGGAGCAUCAUCAGGAGCACCGGGAACGUCUUCUUCAUCACCUGCUGAGGAGCAACCAUCGGCUUCACCGACGGUGAACCCUUCUUCGACGUCGGAUAUCGAGAUGGAACCAGAAACGGUGGGUUCGCCGGGCUCAGCCCUGAAAAGGCCGAUCAGUGAAACACUAGGUGGAGAGGAGGGGAGCGGUGUGAAGAGACCGGCGUUCGGUGGCGGGGGUGAGCCUGGCGUGUCUCCCGCCACCGCCAAAACCGGAAAAUACCACCGGCUUAGCUGAGGCGAUCAGGUAAUCUACCACUUCGGGAUUCGGUAUCAGGGGAUUCGGUAAAACACACAAUGGUGAUGUCAGUUCGGUGAAGGUGUUCACUCACACCAUUGCUCAUAAUGUUAGACAAUGGACCACAGACGCUAUUUUCAUACAGAGUCAGCGCGAUAUGCGCUAUCUAUUUGUGUCUAGUUGACUGAUGUGCUUGGACUGCAGAUUGGCCGAGAUAGGGAGUGCCGGGUGGGAUGUGGCUAGGAAGUGGAAUUUGGGAACUCAAUUGAAGCGAUUCCUUUGAUGGUGAUCAUGCGAGCAAUUUUGGAGCUAUGAGCCGACGGUGAGCUUAUUUAGGACUGACAUCUUUGGAGUUAAACGGAGCGGAACGAGCCAGUGGCUAGCUUUGAGUAGUUUUAAGCCAUUGGUGAGCUAAUUUGGAGCUCGGAGCUCAGGAUGAGCUAAUUGGAGAUUUAGGAGGAUGAGCUUAUUUGAGCUAUAUGAACCAGUGGUGAGCUAUCCUGCAGCCCUGCGUCAGUGGUGAGCUAAGUAAUCCCAUCUUCCGGCGUGUAGCCGAACAGCCGCUCCCCAAAUAGGUACCCCAUUUUAUUCGUGACGUCUUUUUUA